AAGUCGAGGGGCAGCAUGGUCUUAGCUUGCUAAGGCCGAUGGCGACCGGCGCACGGGUGAGUAACACGUAUCCAACCUGCCGUCUACUCUUGGACAGCCUUCUGAAAGGAAGAUUAAUACAAGAUGGCAUCAUGAGUCCGCAUGUUCACAUGAUUAAAGGUAUCCGGUAGACGAUGGGGAUGCGUUCCAUUAGAUAGUAGGCGGGGUAACGGCCCACCUAGUCUUCGAUGGAUAGGGGUUCUGAGAGGAAGGUCCCCCACAUUGGAACUGAGACACGGUCCAAACUCCUACGGGAGGCAGCAGUGAGGAAUAUUGGUCAAUGGGCGAGAGCCUGAACCAGCCAAGUAGCGUGAAGGAUGACUGCCCUAUGGGUUGUAAACUUCUUUUAUAAAGGAAUAAAGUCGGGUAUGCGAUACCCGUUUGCAUGUACUUUAUGAAUAAGGAUCGGCUAACUCCGUGCCAGCAGCCGCGGUAAUACGGAGGAUCCGAG
rnacentral:rRNA from 1 species